UACGUAGGGCGCAAGCGUUUAUCCGGAAUUAUUGGGCGUAAAGAGCUCGUAGGCGGUUUGUCGCGUCUGCCGUGAAAGUCCGGGGCUCAACUCCGGAUCUGCGGUGGGUACGGGCAGACUAGAGUGCGGUAGGGGAGACUGGAAUUCCUGGUGUAGCGGUGAAAUGCGCAGAUAUCAGGAGGAACACCGGUGGCGAAGGCGGGUCUCUGGGCCGAUACUGACGCUGAGGAGCGAAAGCGUGGGGAGCGAACAGG
rnacentral:rRNA from 1 species